GGUUGCCUAGUAACAACCAACAGCCAUGUUGCCAUGUGGUAGUAGAUAGAAUUUGUCUCCUUUGUUCUUUGACCCCCUCUAUUACCUGCCCUCAGCCAAUUCAGAUCCUACCUUCUCUCUUUAGUUCAUUUCAGCACCUUCCUGACUCCUCCUUUCCCUUUCUGAUCCUGCGCUGAACUACUUGGGAACAUGAUAUGACUAUAACAAGGAUUGUGGAAAAGGCAAUGAGAAAUGACCAGUCCAACUACCAAGAGGAUACUUUAUAGAGCUUGAAAAAAACAGUAGUGGAAUUCAUCAUUUCAUCUGAAAAAUCAAAAAGGGAAGAAUCCAAAGAGAAACAAUGGAGAAAAAAGUAGGAGGAAGGUGUAAUGGUUCCUAAUCUCAAAUUAUACCACAAUGUAGUAAUCAUCAAAAUUUCGUAGUGCUGGUUAAAAAAUAGAGUUCCAUCAGUGCAAUUGAUUAGAUACACAACAUACAGAACCAAAUGAAAACAGAUGCAUAGGGUUUGAUAAAGCCAUAGAAAUCAAUUCCUGGGCAAAUGACUCACUAUUCAAGAAAAACUGCUGAGGAAACUGGAAAAAAGUCCGACAGAAGUUAGGUAUAGGCCAACAUCUCACCCUGCAUUCCAAGAUAAAUUCCCAAUAGAUAAAAAGCAACAGAAAAAAUCAAUUAAAGGAACAAGGAAGAACUACAUUUUAAAUCUAUGGAAAGGGAGAAAGUUCAUGACUAAAAAAGAGAAAGAGAUUAAGACAAGCUAACUGAAUAAUUCUGAUUACAUUAAAUUUAAAGUGCUUGACACAAACAAACUAAUCCAGUUGAAGAAAAUGGUAACUGAGAAAAUAUCUUUGCAAUAAAUUUUCUGAUGAAAUCUCAUAUCUAGGAUAUAUAAGGAACUGAUUCAAAUGUAUGAUGACGAAUAAUUUCUCAGUGGGUAAACAGUAAAAGGAUAUGAGGAGACAGUUUUUGAAGGAAGAAAUGCAAACUAUUAACAGGUAUACACAUUUAUUUAUAUAUAAAAUAUACAUGUAUUGAUAUAUAAAAUAAAUAUUUAUUAAAUA